UACAGAGACUGCAAGCGUUAUUCGGAUUCACUGGGCGUAAAGGGUGCGCAGGCGGCCAAGUGUGUUAGGUGUGAAAGCCCGGGGCUUAACCCCGGAAUUGCACCUAAAACUACAUGGCUAGAGCAUUGGAGAGGGUAGCAGAAUUCACGGUGUAGCAGUGAAAUGCGUAGAUAUCGUGAGGAAUACCAGAGGCGAAGGCGGCUACCUGGACAAUUGCUGACGCUCAGGCACGAAAGCGUGGGGAGCAAAAGGG
rnacentral:rRNA from 1 species